CCUACGGGAGGUAGCAGUAGGGAAUCUUCCACAAUGGACGAAAGUCUGAUGGAGCAACGCCGCGUGAGUGAAGAAGGGUUUCGGCUCGUAAAGCCCUGUUGGUAGUGAAGAAAGUUAGAGGUAGUAACUGGCCUUUAUUUGACGGUAAUUACUUAGAAAGUCACGGCUAACUACGUGCCAGCAGCCGCGGUAAUACGUAGGUGGCAAGCGGUGUCCGGAUUUAUUGGGCGUAAAGCGAGUGCAGGCGGUUCAAUAAGUCUGAUGUGAAAGCCUUCGGCUCAACCGGAGAAUUGCAUCAGAAACUGUUGAACUUGAGUGCAGAAGAGGAGAGUGGAACUCCAUGUGUAGCGGUGGAAUGCGUAGAUAUAUGGAAGAACACCAGUGGCGAAGGCGGCUCUCUGGUCUGCAACUGACGCUGAGGCUCGAAAGCAUGGGUAGCGAACAGGAUUAGAUACCCGAGUAGUC
rnacentral:rRNA from 1 species